rnacentral:snRNA from 3 species
GUUCUCGCUUUGGCAGCACAUACACUAAAACUGGAAUGAUACAGAGAAGAUUAGCAUGGCCCCUGCACAAGGAUGACACACAAAUUCACGAAGCAUUCCAAUUGCUG